UUAGAGUGUAGGGGCGGCAGGUAGCCUAGUGGUUAGAGUGUAGGGGCGGCAGGUAGCCUAGUGGUUAGAGUGUAGAGGCGGCAGGUAGCCUAGUGGUUAGAGUGGAGGGGCGGCAGGUAGCCUAGUGGUUAGAGUGUAGGGGCGGCAGGUAGCCUAGUGGUUAGAGUGUAGAGGCGGCAGGUAGCCUAGUGGUUAGAGUGUAGAGGUGGCAGGUAGCCUAGUGGUUAGAGUGUAGGGACGGCAGGUAGCCUCGUGGUUAGAGUGUAGGGGCGGCAGGUAGCCUAGUGGUUAGAGUGUAGGGGCGGCAGGUAGCCUCGUGGUUAGAGUGUAGGGGCGGCAGGUAGCCUAGUGG